UCCUAAAAACAAACCCUAGGAUAUGCUUUGUUGGAUAAUGAUGAUACAAAGAAAACUUAGCGUCGACCAAGUCAUGCAGUCGUUAUCACAUGUAUAUGAUCUUUUCUCUCUUUUUUAUACUUCCAAGAGAAAAAGAAUACAAGAGAAAUGGUGAUGGUGUUGUUGCCAUGGUCGAUGGCAGUCCAUGGCAUCUCUCCAUCUCUUUCUUACGCCUCUACAAAAAACAAAGAAAAAGAAGAAAAAAAACAUCAACGCGUAAAGCUACAGCAAAGAAGGGUUAUUGAACCCUUUCUUCUAAAAUCCAGAAAAAUAUAAUCCCCUUUCUUCUCCCUAUUUUCAUUGUUUUUUAUCCGUUCUCCCUAUUUUAGAUGAUACAUAGAGCUGCAAGGUUUAUUAAUGGAUUUUAACAUGAUGUAGUUUCUUUUAUUGUUGUUGCUAUUAAUCAGUCAUAGGGACUGAUUGCUGUAAAUGGUGGAGCUCGAGUCGCUUAUGAAGAUAAGUGGUUGUUGAUUGAGAAAGAGGAGAUGCUGCUGUUAUCUGGUGGUAGUCGGGAUUGUGAGUUCUAGAUGGACAGAGUAAGUUUGGCAUCAUAUAUUUGUAGCGUCGACCAAUGUACCCCCAUGUUAUUUUCUUUUUUUAAUUACUUUUCCUAAUAGUAGAUUUAUCUUUUCCUAAUAGUGCUUGAUGAUAUAUUAGUUGUGGUAUUCAUUCGUUCUUAGUACUUUGGUUGCUUAAGCCAUUUACAGAGUUACCAGCUGGGUUCAGAUUUCAUCCAACUGAUGAAGAAUUAGGCAUGCACUAUUUGUGCCGUAAAUGUGCAUCUUUACCAAUUUCAGUUCCAAUUAUUGCUGAUAUUGACCUAUACAAGUUUGAUUCAUGGCUACUCUCAGGUAUGGCACUGUAGGGUGAAAACCAGUGGUAUUUCUUUUCUCCAAUAGACAAGAAGUAUCCUAAGGGUCUGGGUAUUGGAAAGCUACCGGGGCGGAUAAACCAAUUGGGAAGCCAAAACCAGUUGGGAUCAAAAAAGCUUUGGUGUUUUUUGAGGGGAAAGCGCCCAGAGGUGUGAAGAUAGACUUGCCCCGGUGUAGACAGAUAGGCGCGCGAGAAGAGUGGCAGCAACUCAAGGGUAUGACUCUUUUAUACUAUUAACAGUUUAUAUUGGUGAGGUAACGAAAUCCAAACUCUAACCCUACUUUCUAUCUUUCUCACGAUUUUAUCAUCACUCAUGAUAUCUGAUUUGUUUUCUUUUACUUCUGUCAUUUUCUUAUCUCUUUUCAUGCAUUUUUUUUGUUAUUUUCUGUUCCAAAUGCAAUUGCAAAAUACCGUUUUUUAGUGAUUUCAAAAUGGUUGAUGACAUUUAGAUAUGCUCUUAUUUAUUUUGCUCUCUCUAUGACCUGUGAAUUAUUGUGUUAAUGACAUGUCUCACUUGCUUCUUUUCGAACGAAAGCUGUCAUUGGCUUUCCUUUUGAGUCGCCGGCACACUAAAUCGGGUAUUUAAAAAAGCCUAUUCUUCUUCUAAGGUUGAGCUUCAACAAGAAGGUACGUAAAUCAACAACGGUGGUACUUAUUUGAUUGGGUCUCUGUCUCAUGGUGGCUGCCAUCGGUUAAGUAAUAACCACUUGCUUAUUCAUAUAAAUAGUUAACGCAUGCUGUUGCAUACAAAACUGAAAGCCCUAAUCUCUUUUACAGGGCUUUCCUUUAAUGUCCAACCAGAAAUUUGUAGUGGCUUCGAAGAUAGUUUGACCCUGGCAGUAACUGUAUAGUCAUUUGUUUGAAUAAUAACUGAUUUGAAGUGAUUUUGCAGGUUCAUCAGGCUUGGUAAACAAAAAUUCUUUAGAAUGUUUACUCUUUGGUCCUCUAGAUAAAGCUCUAUUGUCAGGUGACACUUGAAAUGGACUACGUAUGUUAUGCUUGCAGCUAUUUAAUUUGAUUGUUUUUCGCAUAUCAAAGAUGCCGUGUACCAGCACGUGGUUUCAGUUUUGUUGGAUGCGUAGUGAUUGGCGAAGCAUAUAUAUGGGCUUGGAAGCAAUUCGUACGUAAAUAUGUUUUUUUAAGCUACUACUGUAUGUUCAGAUACUAAAAAUCGGUUAUCCAUCUGGCGCGUAGUACGGGAGCAUGAGCAAUUUUCAAGGGCAAUAAUUACAGCUGCCACCCUUUCAGAACUAUCAGUUGUUCUUAAAUACCUUUUUAUUGUUGUGCACUUACAGAUUAGGCUUUGUGCAGGUGUUUUGUCAAUCCUGCUGCAGUUGUCAGAAGUGCAAAGUAAGUGGCAGAGAGUCUUACAGUAAACAUUUGCCGUCUACCGUAAUUAAGAAUUGGAUAGAGCUUCACUGCCAAUAGAGCUUGGAUUUUAAAGUUGGGAUAACUUCUGAUGUUAUCUUUCUUUGUUUUCUUGCUGGAAGAAAUUAGAGGGAUCUCACUGUAGAGUUCAAGAGCAUGAUGAGUAGGAUAUCUCAGAAGUAGUUUAGCGAGACCAGUGUUCAUUUUGUUGUCAAAUGGGAAAGUGCAUAUGAAGAAUAGUUGACCCCUAACUAAUCAAAACACAUAAUUUCUUAAGAAUUAUUAUACUCUCAUCAAGACACAACGUGAAUUUCAGAGUUCUAGCAACUUUAAUAAGAUUACAAGAAAUGGGGACUUGGGCGAAGCCGAUGUAGGAUCAGAAUCUCGCACAGAAGAAUAUGCUUGCGAAAUUAUUAACAACACAUCGCGAAGACAUCGCGGGAUGAUUUCAGAAAUGACAUAACAAAUGACAUCAGCUUAAAAGUGAGAAAAGUAUGAUGAUCGUGCAAAAUUUAGGAUGUUUGCGAAGUUAACAUUUGUAAGUUUGCGAAAAUACCGCAAGCCAGAUCCGAAAUUAAGGGAAAUGUUAGUUGUACUCCACCAUAUAUGAGUUGUCAUCCAUUAUGUAAAUACCUAUAUAAAGAGAAAGGCAAGAGAGAGAAAGGAGGAUAAUCAAAAAGAAAAAGGAGAGACACUCUUUGUGGGGAGACACACUUUGUAGAGAGACGUUUUGUAGAGAGAGAAAGGGAGGUCAACCUUCUCUUCUUCCCAAAAGACUAGAUCUAGAGAGCUCCAAAUACUCAUUAAUGGAGUCUCAAUUGUAAUCCAUAUGUAAUUACAAACAAUCAUAGUGAA